AGGGACACCACUGUCACCCCGAUGAUGUUCAUCAUUUAUGUUGCCGAGAUUUCAAAUGUAUAGAGCAGGCCUUUGGAUCUAUUUAUUGGAUGAUUUCAACAACUCUGCCUUUGUCACAUCAAGUUCCCACACUAUCAACUACAGGAACUAGUACAACGGCAGUACAGACAACCAGAGAACUGAAUAUGGUGGAAUGUCCAAUGUGUUGGAACGGGCAGUGUGACUUCCAAAACAAUACCAAAUGUGUUGUGUGCAAAAUAUCAUAUGAUUCAACUAAUGCAUCGAUAAUGCCAAUGACUCACUGUGACAUUACGGAUAAUCGUGCAAAUGGAGCAGACUUAAUAUGUUGUAGAACUGUACAGUAUAUCAUUUGGGCAUAUAAACAGUAUUUUCAAACCUUUCGAUCCUCAACCACGUUGCCAACGACGACAUGAUUCCCAGAUCAUACUAAGGUCAACACUUCUAACCCAAUCACAUUUAAGCAUACUAGUGUAGCCACGC